rnacentral:rRNA from 1 species
AGGGUAAUAUACUUGAGCAUUGACGUUAUCUACAGAAGAAGCACUGGCUAACUCUGUGCCAGCAGCCGCGGUAAUACAGAGAGUGCAAGCGUUAAUCGGAAUCACUGGGCGUAAAGCGCGCGUAGGUGGAUGUUUAAGUCGGAUGUGAAAGCCCUAGGCUUAACCUAGGAACUGCAUUCGAUACUGAAUAUCUCGAGUAUGGUAGAGGGAAGUGGAAUUUCCGGUGUAGCGGUGAAAUGCGUAGAUAUCGGAAAGAACACCAGUGGCGAAGGCGGCUUCCUGGACCAAUACUGACACUGAGGUGCGAAAGCGUGGGGAGCAAACAGGAUUAGAGACCCUGGUAGUCCACGCCGUCAACGAUGAGAACUAGCUGUUGGGAAGUUUACUUUCUAGUAGCGAAGCUAACGCGUUAAGUUCUCCGCCUGGGGAGUACGGCCGCAAGGUUAAAACUCAAAGAAAUUGACGGGGGCCCGCACAAGCGGUGGAGCAUGUGGUUUAAUUCGAUGCAAAAAAA